rnacentral:rRNA from 1 species
AUUGAACGCUGGCGGCAUGCCUUACACAUGCAAGUCGAACGGUAACAGGUCUUCGGAUGCUGACGAGUGGCGAACGGGUGAGUAAUACAUCGGAACGUGUCCGAUCGUGGGGGAUAACGAAGCGAAAUCUUUGCUAAUACCGCAUAAGAUCUACGGAUGAAAGCAGGGGACCGCAAGGCCUUGCGCGAACGGAGCGGCCGAUGGCCGAUUAGGUAGUUGGUGGGAUAAAAGCUUACCAAGCCGACGAUCUGUAGCUGUUCUGAGAGGACGACCAGCCACACUGGGACUGAGACACGGCCCAGACUCCUACGGGAGGCAGCAGUGGGGAAUUUUGGACAAUGGGCGCAAGCCUGAUCCAGCCAUGCCGCGUGCAGGAUGAAGGCCUUCGGGUUGUAACUGCUUUUGUACGGAACGAAAAGACUCUGGUUAAUACCUGGGGUCCAUGACGGUACCGUAAGAAUAAGCACCGGCUAACUACGUGCCAGCAGCCGCAGUAACAC